CCUCUUCUCUCUUCCCUUUCACCCUAUUCUUUCUUCUCUGUCUCCGUUUAUCCCUCUCUCCCUCAACGUUUUCUUUCUUUUCUUUCUUUCUUUUUUUGCUAUUAGAAAUUGAGUUUUGGG